rnacentral:rRNA from 1 species
UACGAAGGGUGCAAACGUUGCUCGGAAUUAUUGGGCGUAAAGCGCACGUAGGCGGCUUUGCAAGUCCCAUGUGAAAUCCCACGGCUCAACCGUGGAAGUGCAUGGGAAACUGCAGAGCUUGAGUACUUAAGAGGAUCGCGGAAUUCCCGGUGUAGAGGUGAAAUGCGUAGAUAUGCGGAGGAACACCGAUGGCGAAGGCAAUCCCCUGGACCUGUACUGACGCUCAUGCACGAAAGCGUGGGGAGCAAACAGG